UUCAAUGAUACAAACCCUGACUAUAGCAACAAUUGGGUAUCUGGCACCAGUGUAUGGAACAGAAGGAAUUGUUUCGACAAAAGGAGAUAAAGAAGUUUGAAGAGUUGGGUAAAAGAGUCAAUAUCAUCUCCCUUAAAUCAAGUUGUAGACGCCAAUUUGCAGAGCACUAUUGGGAGAGAACAUGCAGCAGCCAACAAGUGUGCCUUAUCCAUUUUGCAAGUUGGUUUGGACUGUUCAGCAGAAUCACCGGAUGAGAGGCUUGAGAUGAAAGAGAUCGUUUCGAAGCUAAAGAAGAUCAGAGCUAAGUUUUUAAUGGAUACCAGA